UACGUAGGGUGCGAGCGUUGUCCGGAAUUAUUGGGCGUAAAGAGCUUGUAGGCGGUUUGUCGCGUCUGCUGUGAAAAUCCGGGGCUCAACCCCGGACUUGCAGUGGGUACGGGCAGACUGGAGUGUGGUAGGGGAGACUGGAAUUCCUGGUGUAGCGGUGGAAUGCGCAGAUAUCAGGAGGAACACCGGUGGCGAAGGCGGCAUCCUGGACCGAUACUGACGCUGAGGAGCGAAAGCCAGGGGAGCAAACGGG
rnacentral:rRNA from 1 species